GGUAUAGCUCAGUGGUAGAGCACAUGCUUAGCAUGCACGAGGUCCUGGGUUCAAUCCCUAGUACC
rnacentral:tRNA from 1 species